ensembl:snoRNA
GAGCAAUGAUGAAAAAAGAUUUCACUACUGACCUUUGUAACUAUGAAGGUUUCUACACUUGACCUGAGCUCA